GAUGAAGAACGCGGCGAAAUGCGAUAAGUAAUGCGAAUUGCAGAAUUCAGUGAGUCAUCGAAUCUUUGAACGCACAUUGCGCCCUGUGGUAUUCCGCAGGGCAUGCCUGUUCGAGCGUCAUUUCAACCCUCAAGCUCUGCUUGGUGUUGGGCCCUGCCCGCUGCGGCCGGCCCUAAAGACAGUGGCGGUGCCGCCUGGCCCUGAGCGUAGUACAUCUCUCGCUCCAGUGCCCGGUGGUAGCCUGCCAGAACCCCAACUCUCGUGGUUGACCUCGGAUCAGGUAGGGAUACCCGCUGAACUUAAGCAUAUCAAUAAGCGGAGGA
rnacentral:misc_RNA from 1 species